GUUUUCGUAGUGUAGUGGUAAUCACAUCUGCCUAACACGCAGAAGGUCCUGGGUUCGAUACCCAGCGGAAACA
rfam:Biomphalaria glabrata isolate BB02 linkage group LG2 unlocalized genomic scaffold LG2_random_Scaffold6475, whole genome shotgun sequence.